rnacentral:rRNA from 1 species
GAUGAACGCUGGCGGCGUGCUUAACACAUGCAAGUCGAACGAGAAAUGGAGACGGAAACCUUCGGGCGGAAGGCUUCAUUUCGAGUGGCGGACGGGUGAGUAACGCGUGGGUAACCUGCCUCAUACAGGGGGAUAACAGUUGGAAACGACUGUUAAUACCGCAUAAGACCACAGCACCGCAUGGUGCGGGGGUAAAAACUCCGGUGGUAUGAGAUGGACCCGCGUUCGAUUAGCCAGUUGGCGGGGUAACGGCCCACCAAAGCGACGAUCGAUAGCCGAUCUGAGAGGAUGACCGGCCACAUUGGGACUGAGACACGGCCCAAACUCCUACGGGAGGCAGCAGUGGGGAAUAUUGCACAAUGGGGGAAACCCUGAUGCAGCGACGCCGCGUGAGUGAAGAAGUACUUCGGUAUGUAAAGCUCUAUAAGCAGGGAAGAAAAUGACGGUACCUGAGGAAGAAGCCCCGGCUAACUACGUG